rnacentral:lncRNA from 1 species
CUUUCCAUUGUUUUUAGAUUCCAAUAAUUUUCUUCUUCUUAACUUUGAAUAACAGAAUUAUCAAAUUAAAUGAUUGUACAAAAUUCUGGAUGGAGAGGUGAGGUGAGAUGGUUGGGGGUGUGGCAGACACUGUAAUUCAUAAUUUUUGCAGCUUAAAAACAAAGAUCUGAAAUUUAUCGAAAUAAAACAGAACUUACUAAUGAAUUAAUUAAUUCAUAUUCAAAUCCUUGUUUCUUAAGAACUAUGAGGGAGGAAGAAGACCGGUU